GACGAACGCUGGCGGCGUGCUUAACACAUGCAAGUCGAACGAAGAGCGAUGGAAGCUUGCUUCUAUCAAUCUUAGUGGCGAACGGGUGAGUAACGCGUAAUCAACCUGCCCUUCAGAGGGGGACAACAGUUGGAAACGACUGCUAAUACCGCAUACGAUCUAAUCUCGGCAUCGAGGAUAGAUGAAAGGUGGCCGCUACAUGUAAGCUAUCACUGAAGGAGGGGAUUGCGUCUGAUUAGCUAGGUGGAGGGGUAACGGCCCACCAAGGCGAUGAUCAGUAGCCGGUCUGAGAGGAUGCACGGCCACAUUGGGACUGAGACACGGCCCAGACUCCUACGGGAGGCAGCAGUGGGGAAUCUUCCGCAAUGGACGAAAGUCUGACGGAGCAACGCCGCGUGAGUGAUGACGGCCUUCGGGUUGUAAAGCUCUGUUAAUCGGGACGAAAGGCCUUCUUGCGAAUAGGGAGAAGGAUUGACGGUACCGGAAUAGAAAGCCACGGCUAACUACGUG
rnacentral:rRNA from 1 species